GAUUGUGGCACUUCUCCAAAAUUCGACUCUAACGUCAUAUUAGAUGAAACUCUGGCAUCAAGUACGAACAGUCGCAGCAGAAGAUCUGUUACCAAUUCAGGAAGAUUUCCAAGAAUAGUAGGAGGCAUGGAUGCUGAUAUUGAAUCGUGGCCUUGGCAAGUUUCUAUCGAGAAGAGUAAGGAUAAAGAACACUUUUGCGGAGGAGCUCUCAUAUCAAAUAGAUUUAUUCUUACUGCAGCUCAUUGUUUGGUUGCUAAGAAAAAGGCUGAUAUACGUAUCAAACUGGGUCUCAACCAUCUAACGGAGACAGAAAAUACUCAAAGUUUUAAUGCGAGUCGUGUU